UACGUAGGUGGCAAGCGUUGUCCGGAUUUACUGGGCGUAAAGAGCGCGCAGGCGGUCAGAUAAGUCGAAUGUGAAAGCCCCCGGCUCAACUGGGGAGGGUCAUUCGAUACUGUUCGACUCGAAGGCAGGAGAGGGAAGUGGAAUUCCCGGUGUAGUGGUGAAAUGCGUAGAUAUCGGGAGGAACACCAGUGGCGAAGGCGGCUUCCUGGACUAAUACUGACGCUGAGGUGCGAAAGCGUGGGGAGCAAACAGG
rnacentral:rRNA from 1 species